rnacentral:sRNA from 1 species
GAUGCCGCGGGGGCCGCUCGCAGCCGCCGCUGACUUGUGAAUGGGACCGGGACUGGGGCCGGGACUGACACCGCAGCGCUUACCCUGCGCCAGGGACUGGCGGCUCGGAGUUUGCGUCCACCCUCAAGGGCCCCAGUUCUGCAAGCUGGAAAGUCUCGGGAUCAAGCAAGUGUCUAGCAAGGGCCUGUUCCUCAUAGAUGAUGCCUUCUGAGUGUCCUCAGAUGACAGAAGAGAUGGAAGGGGUGAAAACAGGUGUAUUUCCUCCUUUAAGUCCCUUGAUAAGGGCAUUAUUCCUAUUCUUUUAUAGUCCUCUGUUUGUAGUCAGUAUCAUCGUGUCUCUUUCUGGGAGGAGAUUAUGAAACCAUGUUAAAGAAACACAGAGAGGAGUACAAAGGAGAGGCUGAGACUAAGACA